rnacentral:rRNA from 1 species
CUUUCCCUCUGGCGGCAUGCUUUACACAUGCAAGUCGAACGGCAGCGGGGUAGUGCUUGCACUACUGCCGGCGAGUGGCGAACGGGUGAGUAAUAUAUCGGAACGUACCGAGUAAUGGGGGAUAACCAAUCGAAAGAUUGGCUAAUACCGCAUACGUCCUGAGGGAGAAAGCGGGGGAUCGCAAGACCUCGCGUUAUUCGAGCGGCCGAUAACUGAUUAGCUAGUUGGUGGGGUAAAGGCCUACCAAGGCGACGAUCAGUAGCGGGUCUGAGAGGACGAUCCGCCACACUGGGACUGAGACACGGCCCAGACUCCUACGGGAGGCAGCAGUGGGGAAUUUUGGACAAUGGGGGCAACCCUGAUCCAGCCAUGCCGCGUGUAUGAAGAAGGCCUUCGGGUUGUAAAGUACUUUUGUUAGGGAAGAAAAGGGAAGUGCUAAUACCACUUUUUGCUGACGGUACCUAAAGAAUAAGCACCGGCUAACUACGUG